GCGCAUGCCAAGUGGCCCUCCUACUUAUGACGAGAGAAUUUCUCUCAAGAGAGCAAGCACAAGGAGCGGUAUAAGUUUACUGUUACGAGCGUGGAGAUGACAUCACUUACAAAGCCAAAGACAACGAAAACCAGAAAAUAUAAGAAUAUUUGCGAAACCAUACACCUUGCCGACCUUACUCAAGUAAUCUACCUACGAUCUACCUCUCCAAUUUUAUACUCCUACUCGCUAUUGUACAUGUAUCUACAGAUGAGGCAAACAAGUAUUGAAUACUUUAUAUUGCUUUUAUUGUGCACUUUAACCAACGUAUGUACAUACAUAUGUAAACGGGUAUACAUUCACGUAUGUAUACCUUUAGAUACAUUUAAUACUCGUAUCUAUAGGCUCAUGAACACAAGUACGAACAAAUGUACUCGCAACUACCCACCAAUGUCGUGAUAUAGUAUAGAUCGAGCGCGGAAAGUGGAGAGUGUAUUUGCUGCGAUUCACUUAAGUUAUUGAGUGGGUACACGUAAAGAAAGCUGAGGCAUGAAAUCCACAAAUUAAUAAUACUUACUUUUGUACUACAACAUCAAGAGAUUUCCCUCUCCAUUUUAUGUACAUAUUAGCUGUUUUCGAUUCACCAAAUAUUGUAACGCAGGGAAGGAUUGGAUAUCAAGGAGUUAUACCAGUUUUAUAGGAUUUAUACCAGGAGUGCGUAGACGGAUAGUUUACUGUUGUGUAGCAAUAAAUGCUGACACACAACCAGUCGGAAUAAAGCUAAAAGACGUAUACAUACAGAUGUGAGUAAAUACACAUACCUACACAGAUAACGUUAAGGUAUUCGUAUCUGCGAGUGGGUCGGUGUCUAUAAGCAUGUGAGAACACACGUACACAAAUGUAGAUACAAUAUGAAGAUUGUAUAGAGACAUUUGUUGUAUGUGUGCUAGCAGUUAGCGGCUAGAUGCCAAUAUCGUAGCAGACUACUACGCCACAAUGAAUCAGUCUUGUGAAUAUUCGCGAACUAUGCGGUCGCCAUAUGAUGAUUUUUCAAUCGUGUCGGAUAGCGGUGAAGAAGGUAGAGGGAAUAGCUACAGCUAUGGAAACAAAAAUUAUAGUUGUACCAUACCAUAUCACGCGCGUGAAAAUUCGUUGCCAUUUAGUUACGGACAAAUAAAUAAGACACCGACCUCAUUGCGUAGUGUUGGUCCAGCUAAUGGAAUCGGCGGACUCCAUCGCCCUCAACAUGGCGCUGAUGCUGUUUCCAGUGAUGUUAUCGAUUUCGGAUUCGGUUCAAGCCUAACGCCAUCUAAGGCGGAUGAAAAUUACAAUAUGGACGCGGAUCUUUAUUGCGGUGCUAAUUACAACAACGGUUUAACGGCCACAUUAAGAUCGACAACAACACCAACUGCAAAAAAGUCGGCACAGGGAAGUAGCACAGACGCAAUAAGUACGAUCAAAGCGCAACCACGACUUACGAGUCCGAUAUUGGUACGUAAAACGCUCAAUAGCCGAUCGCCUACGCGCAAUGGAGCUACCAAUACUAACACUAUCGCCAACACAUACCAUUACAAAUAUGGAAACGACGAUGACAAUAUUUUCGGCGCUCCCGUCGGCAUCAGCAGUAGAAGCCACAACAACACUUUAAAAGGCAAAUUCAACAGUGACAAUAAUGAUUACAGUAACGAUUUCAAACACAAUAACGACAACAGUAGCAAAACUCAUAUUUUCAGCAACAACAAAAACAAGAGCAACAAAUUUGGUAUUGACGACACAGUCGAUGGAAGCAUGAACGUGCGGAAAAUCCAUCCACGCGAUGAUUUUGAGGAAUUAUUACACGAACGUCGGGAAAAGGUUUUCCGUGAACAUUACCGAUCGGUUGGAUCAACGCAAGCUAUCGAUGGCAUCAAUGGAAGUAGAUUUGAAACUUCGCCUAACGCUCAGAAGUUCAACUAUGAUUUCGAAUUUCACUUAAAUGUUGACGAUGCACCGCCCCCACCACGUCGUGCCCACACUAUGGAUCGAUCGUCGCUACAACAGCUACAGCAAUAUCGUACUCGCGACAUUCCAGUUGCCCGCGAGGUCGUUACGCCAACCGUCAAUUCGUCGAUUGUGGAACGUAAUUACCACACAAUUGGCUCCUCUAUUGCUAAUAGAAAAGCAAGCGAAACAUGCGCUCCUACUCAGCAAAAUUCACUAGUUCGUCAACAAAUUCAACCACAGCAACCGCAACAUCAACAACGACGUGAAAUUGAAACGCUUUAUAGUACAGUGGAGAAACGUACGUCAAAACCGUCGCAAAAACAACAAUCGCUAUCACCUUCUCCAAUACAAACACAACAACCGCUUCGACCAACAGAGUACUCCCCAUAUGGAAAUGGAAACGCGAGUACGGCUAGUUAUGGAUUUGACAAUCAUAACGAGUAUGCUACAAAUAAUCGGAGCUCAUUGGGAGCCGCCGUUGUUGCACGCAGCCGCAAUGACGUGUCACCACCAAUUUACGCUACUACCACUAAGCAUAUCACCACAGCUAAGAAAACAUAUCACAACCACAUUGUAUCCGAACCAGAAUUGUCUUUAAAAGAUCACACAUUGGGGACUUCAUUGUCGCUGCCAAUUGACUCUGCUUCGGCUGGAGCUGUGAAUGAAUUCGAACUGGGUAAAAUUUCGCCAUCACUGGUGACACGCCCUGAAACACCAGCAUUUCCAGUUACUCCACGUACACCACAUGGUGCAUACAAUGGACAAAACAGUCCCACGGGCUAUUCACCUAGCUCAAUGUUGCAACAUACAGAUCUAACGAAAGGAAAAUCAAUGCUAGACUUGCACAACUACUCUUCGGAGACCAUUUACCGUACAAGUUGUCGCCCACGUCUCGACUCCAACAUGUCAAUGGUUAAUAGUGAACCGCAGGAAGUUGCCGCACAUCUGGUCAAAUUUGCCAAAGAUUCGUCGAAAUACUGGUACAAGCCGAAUUUGUCGCGCGAAGAAGUUGUUCAGUUGUUACUACAUGCUGAACCAGGUACAUUUAUAGUUCGUAAUUCCACAACAUACAAGGAUAACUAUGGUUUAGUGGUACGUGUUUACCAACCACCCCCAAAUAGUGAACUUACAGGCCAACCCGACGAUUUAGUGCGCCAUUUCCUCAUUGAGCCUACAAAACACGGUGUACGCUUGAAGAGUUGCGCCAAUGAACCAGUUUUUACAUCACUAUCAGCUCUUAUCUAUGAACAUUCAAUCAACAAAUUAGCCUUACCAUGUUUGUUACGCAUACCCGAACACGAUUUGGUACCAUCGUUAAUCGAACCGACUAGUGCUCAAAAACAAUUGCUAACCCAGGGCGCAGCUUGUAAUGUACUGUGGUUGUACUCAUGUGACACUGAAUCAUUAACUGGUGAAGAGGCUAUCCGUAAAGCCAUACGGCAAUUGUACUCCCAAGAUCGACUACAUAUGCCAACAGAAGUUCACUUUAAAGUCACGCAACAGGGAAUUACCCUCACCGACAAUACUAGGAAAAAAUUCUUCCGAAAACACUAUCCCGGCGAUAGCAUCUCAUUUUGUGCCAUAGAUCCAGAUCAUCGACUCUGGGAAAUCCGAUUGACGGAAGAAGAAGGCAGUGACAAAAAUAGUACCCCGGUCGGAGCGCUAAAGAAGACAAUAUUUGCGUUUGUGGCUCGGAGCACGCCAAAAUCGAAAGACAAUCAAUGCCAUGUAUUUUGUGAUUUAGACAUUCAUCAGCCAGCUUCAGCCAUCGUUUCCUUCGUCAAUAAAACAUUGCCAACUGAGAAAGAACGUAAUUUUGUGCUCUGAAAUCGGAUGAAUACGGGGUCAAAAUAACUUGGAAAGCGAACAAAGUAAGAAGAAAGUGGCCGCACCAGUGCUCGUGUAUAUACAUAUUUAUCCAAGUAUUUAUACACCGAUCAAGAUUCCAUAUGGCAAAAUAAAAAAAUAGAGAAGGGUAUCAGAUAUUCAUAUAUUAUACACAUGUACGCUCUUAAAAAAUAUUGUACCUGUAGUAUAACUGAAAUGACGGGGCCUUAAUAUCAAUCUAUGCGGUAUUAGCAUUCGAACGUCUACACUAAAAAUUUAAUCAGCUCUAAAUCAACUAAAAUGAUGUCCCAGUUUAGUUCAUAUACAAUGUAUAUUGAAUAUUUCAAUAUUAUUCAUACAUACAUAUGUAGAUAUGUAUAUGAAAGUGCAUACAUAUGGGCGUGUGUAUGCAGGUUUGUAUGUAUGCUCAUAUUUAUUUUAUUGUUUAUGAUUUUUUUGUACAUAUGUAGCUUUCAUUCUAAUUAUAUUUGACAUUGUGCCUUAAAUUUAAUAUUAAUCAAAUCGAAUAAAUCCAACACUUAAAAUAGUAACAAAAAUUUAAACAUGUUU